UACGUAGGGUGCAAGCGUUGUCCGGAAUUAUUGGGCGUAAAGAGCUCGUAGGCGGUCUGUCGCGUCGGCUGUGAAAACUCGGGGCUCAACUCCGAACUGCAGUCGAUACGGGCAGGCUAGAGUUCGGCAGGGGAGACUGGAAUUCCUGGUGUAGCGGUGAAAUGCGCAGAUAUCAGGAGGAACACCGGUGGCGAAGGCGGGUCUCUGGGCCGAUACUGACGCUGAGGAGCGAAAGCGUGGGGAGCGAACAGG
rnacentral:rRNA from 1 species